ACGGAUACUGAAAGCACAACAGAUAGGGUAUCAACAAGGUAUCAGACAAUUCUGCAACAUGGUGCAUGUAACAGGACCCACUCUCUGGAUGCAUAUCUUGAGCCUUCUUAUUUGCAACUUCAUGGGGCAAACUUAUUUUGCUGCAAGUCAAGCUGCUACCACAAAUCAACAUCGUACAUUUGCUUUUCUUAGAAAUGUCUCAUCACACCUAACUAACCAAUAUAGGAACAUCGUCGAUAACUGUCCUUCACCAAAGCUUAGUGGGAUAUCAAGCAAUAUCAGCGAGUCUACUUGUGCCUUCAGCAAAUAUCUCAACACCGUGGCCAUGAAAGUGCAUCUCAGUGAUAACAUUAAGAACAAUACCAAACGAUUCACAAAUCAGUUCAAGCUCUUUUUCAUCCAUGACUGUAACCAUGACUGUAAGGUUAAAUUAGCUCUGGAUAAAAGAAUUCAUUCCAAACUCCAAUAUGACCUAAAAUGUCUAGGUUUAAAUGUCUUUGAGAAUUUAACCUCAUGGUUGAAUAAGACUGAAUUUCACAAAUGUAUUUGAAAUCUCUGAAACUAGAAU